rnacentral:rRNA from 1 species
CAGUAGCCGCGGUAAUACGUAGGGUGCGAGCGUUGUCCGGAAUUACUGGGCGUAAAGAGCUCGUAGGCGGUUUGUCGCGUCGUCUGUGAAAUUCUGCAGCUUAACUGUAGGCGUGCAGGCGAUACGGGCAGACUUGAGUACUACAGGGGAGACUGGAAUUCCUGGUGUAGCGGUGAAAUGCGCAGAUAUCAGGAGGAACACCGGCGGCGAAGGCGGGUCUCUGGGUAGUAACUGACGCUGAGGAGCGAAAGCGUGGGUAGCGAACAGGAUUAGAUACCCCCGUAGUCCCUGUCUCUUAUAC